rnacentral:lncRNA from 10 species
CCCGUCUCUACUAAAAAUACAAAAAGUAGCCGGGUGUGGUGGUGCACUCCUGUAAUCUCAGCUACUCAGGAAGCUCAGGCAGGGGAAUUGCUUGAACCCAGGAGGCAGAGGUUGCAGUGAGCUGAGAUCACGCCACUGCACUCCAGCCUGGGUGAUGGAGUGAGACUUUGUCUCAAAAAAAAUAUAUAUAUAUAAACUCUUUGAAAAUUACAAAAGUAGUCUGAAAAUACCAUCACCUUAAAGAUAGUUAGUUGUUUCCUACCAAAUGUCUACCAAGUUUGCUAUUCCUUGUGCUUUAAUUUUACAUUGUUUUUUCAAAAGGUUUCCUUCAAGCAGGAUGGUACCUUUCCACUUUCCUCCAUCAAAAUGUGCACUUUGGAACCCAACGCCAACUGGAGAUUUCAUCUACUUACAUCUCAGUUACUACAGAAAUCCAAAGCUUGUGGUGACUGAGAAGACCAUCCGACUUGCUUAUCGUCAUGCUAAGCAGAAUAAAAAAAAUUCGUCAUGCUUUUUACUUGGUUCUCUGACAGCAGACGAAG